rnacentral:tRNA from 1 species
GAGAUUUAGGCCAUAAGAGAGACUUCUAAUCUUUACUUAAAGCGGUUAAACUCCGUUUACUUCUCU